rnacentral:rRNA from 1 species
AUUGAACGCUGGCGGCAGGCCUAACACAUGCAAGUCGAACGAGUGGCGGACGGGUGAGUAAUGUCUGGGAAACUGCCCGAUGGAGGGGGAUAACUCCUGGCAACGGUAGCUAAUACCGCAUACCAUCGGAUGUGCCAAGAUGGGAUUAGCUAGUAGGUGGGGUAAAGGCUCACCUAGGCGACGAGCCCUCGCUGGUAUGAGAGGAUGACCAGCCACACUGGAACGGAGACACGUUCCAGACGCCUACGGGAGGCAGCAGUGGGGAAUAUUGCACAAUGGGCGCAAGCCUGAUGCAGCCAUGCCGCGUGUAUGAAGAAGGCCUUCGUGUUGUAAAGUACUUUCAGCGAGGAGGCGUUACUCGCAGAAGAAGCACCGGCUAACUCCGUGCCAGCAGCCGCGGUAAUUC